GGAGGGGUGGUUCAGUGGUUAAGAGCACUUAUUUUUGAAAAAGACCUGGGUUUGAUUCCCAGCACCCACA
rnacentral:tRNA from 1 species